rnacentral:lncRNA from 1 species
UAAAUUUGUAUGUAACGCAUGCCAAAAGGGCAAAAGUUGUUGUUGCAACAUUGGGGCAACCCUAGCUACCUCUCCCUCUCACGGCUGGACGGAGGUAGAAGAAGACACAAGAAAUUCCGGGCCGGCGCACGAACGCCGCCGUGGGCGCACGCAUGCCCUAAUCUUUCCUCUCCUUUACAAUGUCUACAUGGCUGGCUCCAACUCAACCAACCAAUACACCGGGGGUGGGUUUUAUACCCAACACGCACACACACAGCCAGGCAACAACCUGCCCGGCUCUUAUGCACACGACUUGCUCCACUACAUGCACUCACGCACUAAUAGCUGACUUGAUCACCCAUGAUCCACAUGACCCGGACCUGCCUCUCCGCAGAUCCCUACCGCCACGCUACACACACCAACAAACUAGUUUGCUAUAGUCGCACACACGACACACACAAACGAACUAGCUAGCUACUGCCAGCCAUGCUACUGCACACACGCUACACACAAUAGGUCGCCACAGACCUGGCACGUACGCGCACACUCGCCGGUCACCACGGACCUGAGCAUGUCUUAUUCCCAUCAUUCACGCCCUAAGCCAUGAUCCGCCGUCACCGUAGUUGGUGCAGCUUCCAUCGUUGUCGUCGUCACGGCCGCAGACUCGACCUGGCGCACUGACGGCCAUGAUUUCCUCGAGCUCGAACUCGACUCCGGGCACUGCCAUUACAACGUACACGGGGGGUUUUAUACCCAGAGACGCGCCGGGCACGCACCCACGUCCCAGCCCACGUCGAGCACCCGUCCCGCCCGCUCUGCCCGCGCCCCCUCCGACAUGCACGCACACGUCUGGGUGCGGCGAGCCCGUGAUGUACCAACUCAACGCGCACACCCCCGCUCGCCAACGGCCACCCUACACCACGGUCCCGCCGCGCCUGACGCGCCCGGCGCGCGCCCAUACACGCGCCUGACGCAUCCGAAACGAGCGCCGCAGCUCUGUGCCACGCGCCUCCACCGUUGUCGCGCCGAGCCGCCGCGACGCGCUCCCUGUGUCGUCGUCGUCGUUGAAGCCGCCACCACGCAGGUCCUCCACGGCCUCCUGACCGUGCCGCCGCAGCCACCAUGCAGUGCCUCGGCGGCCUCCACGGUCGCCGCACGUACGACGUUACCGCCCGCCGCCUCCGCCACGCGCCAUGACAGCUGCAGCACCGCCCUCCUCCAGAGGCCGACACACGGCCCGGAGCUCCAUCGCACAGCCGCCGGCGAGCGCUGCCAUCGCUGCCACGCCUCCGGCACGGCACGCACGCCCAAGACACAAAGCUCUGAUACCAAAUGUUGUUGCAACAUUGGGGCAAUCCUAGCUACCUCUCCCUCUCACGGCUGGACGGAGGUAGAAGAAGACAUAAGAAAUUCCGGGCCGGCGCACGAACGCCGCCGUGGGCGCACGCAUGCCCUAAUCUUUCCUCUCCUUUACAAUGUCUACAUGGCUGGCUCCAACUCAACCAACCAAUACACCGGGGGUGGGUUUUAUACCCAACACGCACACACAGCCAGGCAACAACCUGCCCGGCUCUUAUGCACACGACUUGCUCCACUACAUGCACUCACGCACUAAUAGCUGACUUGAUCACCCAUGAUCCACAUGACCCGGACCUGCCUCUCCGCAGAUCCCUACAGCCACGCUACACACACCAACAAACUAGUUUGCUACAGCCGCACACACGACGCACACCAACGAACUAGCUAGCUACUGCCAGCCAUGCUACUGCACACACGCUACACACGGCCGGUCGCCACAGACCUGGCACGUACGCGCACACUCGCCGG